AACUCAGUUGGCAGUGUUUGUGUCUUCACAUUACUGUUGUUACAGGCGCCCUGCAGCCCUUGUAAACAGUCUGUGAAGUCAGUGUGCUUGUGUCUGAAAUUGACUUCACGACAAUAAGCUGUUGGUUGUAAGCAUAAAUGAACUGUUUGCUCCAGUAUUAAUGUUGAGGCCCUGGGUAAGUGCAAGUGUAACUUCCGGCCCAUGUUACAAUGCUUCUGGCGCUGGCUGUUAGCAGUUCAUGGAGACUCCGUGAGUCCUGACCAGGGCUUUUGGUUGGUUUUAUUCACUGCACUGCAAGCAGUUCUUUCCUUUACCCUUGGUAGUCACUGUGUAAUAGGCAUCUGUUUUGUUGCCUUUAGAAAAUGCUGCUUUCUUCAACAUGGAGAAUGAUUUUCUUCAGUGGCCUUUCUAGCAUCGUUAUGUGCAAGCUUCUUUUUCCUUAAUCCUUCAUUAAGAUGAAAUAUGCAUAUGAUAACUGACUCUGGUACAACAUGACACUGUCCGUUCCAUCCACUUUCCACUCUUCUGACAAAUGAGAUCUCAUCUCGUGUCCCUUCCACGUGCUUUAUUCAUUCAUUUGUUGAUAGACAGGUAGACUGAUGCCAUCGUGUAGCUGUUCUGAGUAGUGUUCCAAUAAACACGAGUUUGCAGACUUCUCAGAUGACCAGAUUGUACUUCUGCGUUUGUGUUGGGUCUUGGCUCUUGUUAGUAUAGAAACUCUACUUUGAGAAUUAUUAUCUAAACCAUUUGUCUGGUUGUUCUUUAGAUAGAUUCCAGACCUCAGACCUAGUCAAAGGCAUCACUUGGUCCAUGGUACUUUUUUUUUUUACAACUUUGUAUUGGUUCUAAUUGAUUGAAUUUCACAUCAUGCACACCAAUCCACUCAUUCGCCCCUCCCCUCAUGCCCACCUUCCACCCUUGCAACCUCCCCUGCCAACAGAAAAAAAAAAAAUCUCGUUGUAGAAGAUGUAAUAUGCUGCAUCCCACAGUCCCACAAUAUACUCUUUUGUUUAUGUUUCUUGGCUUGCAAAUGUUCAUUGCAUUGAGUUCUUGGUCUGGUAUAAGGCUGCUACACUACCAAUACUGGAACUUCGCUGGGACUCUUCAUAUAUCCUGUUGUUGUCUUGUGCAAUGGAGAUCCUGUAGUUUUGGAUCUGUACGACCAACCCCUUCACUCUAGCAGCUCAUCUAUGGGGUACAUGUUGAAGUGUACCAAUUCAAAGCCAUGGAUCUGAGCCUGAGAGGUCUGAGCUGGUCAGCCCACCAGCCCUCCCACACUACCGGGAUAAGUUCUUCCCUGUGCCAGCUGACCCAUCCAAUGCUCCAGCAAAAGGCUGGUCAUCUUUGGCUAGCUCCCUGAGUCAUCUUGGGCUCUCUCCAGCCUGGGGCCAAUGGUCGAAGGCAGGGUUCUUCUAGUCUCCAGCUUGUUCCCUACCCUGGGAGCCUGUCAAGGCCUGCACAGUACCAGACUAGUGGUCAUCUCUGGCUAGCUCCCUUAGCUCCCUGUCCAGGGGACCUCCUGGCACUGGAUUAGUGGUGGACUCAGGCUUGCUUUUUUUUCAGGAGAGGUUAGAUUACUAAUCAUUCAGAUGUUCAUAAGUCAGAACACUGAGCAAAGCAAUAGCUUCUCCUCCACCUACUGACUCACACGUGCACAACAGCCACACCCGCAAUGCCUCUAGGAGCAGGUCCAGUGUACUUUUGUUUUAACUAUUUUUGGCUCUUUAUUAAUCAGCACAUAAAUACGCUUCGUUUCUCCUUUUCAAUAUGUAUGUGUGGUGCUGAGUAUCAAACUCAAAGCCUUGUGCGUGCCAUGCUAACACUGUACCAUGGAGCUAGACUUGUUGGCUUCUAUUAAAAUUCUUUAUUGUCUAGUCUCUUUGACUUGCUUUAGAAUAAAAUCCUUUCUUAGUUUUUCUUUUUUUUUUUCCUGCCUUAGUGUAUAUAAAAUACCUUUGUUGCUGUGAGAAAGUACCUUGACAAAAGCAACAAAAGGAAAUAUGAGUUUAUUUUGCUUCACAGUUCAAGAGUGCAGUCCAGAGCUUGAGGCAGCUGCUCACAUUGCAUCUACAAUGAAGAAGUGGACAAUGAUGAAUGCUUGUGCUCAGCUCACAUUAUCAUUUUUAUACAGUCCAGGGUCCCAGCAUAGGGAAUGGUGCCACCCAUAUUGGGUCCACUCAAGUUGGGUCUUCCCACUUUAAAAAACCUAUUCA
rnacentral:lncRNA from 1 species